GUACUUUCAGCAGUGAGGAAGGUGGGUAUGUUAAUAGCAUAUUCAUUUGACGUUAGCUGCAGAAGAAGCACCGGCUAACUCCGUGCCAGCAGCCGCGGUAAUACGGAGGGUGCGAGCGUUAAUCGGAAAUUUACUGGGCGUAAAGCGCAUGCAGGUGGUUUGUUAAGUCAGAUGUGAAAGCCCGGGGCUCAACCUCGGAAUUGCAUUUGAAACUGGCAAACUAGAGUACUGUAGAGGGGGUAGAAUUUCAGGUGUAGCGGUGAAAUGCGUAGAGAUCUGAAGGAAUACCGGUGGCGAAGGCGGCCCCCUGGACAGAUACUGACACUCAGAUGCGAAAGCGUGGGGAGCAAACAGGAUUAGAUACCCUGGUAG
rnacentral:rRNA from 1 species